rnacentral:lncRNA from 13 species
UUCUCGUUUCUGCUCUGCUUCGGACCACGCGGGUGCACGCGGGAUUCGUGAGGCCGAGUCCCGAAUCCCGGUUUACUAUCAUUAAGUGAUCGAACCGGCGGCCACGUGUGUAAUAAGGAACGUAACGGAAAGCCGUGCGGAAGAACAGGAGAGAAAGCGUGCGGAAGAACAGGAGAGGAAGCGUGCG